GCUGGGUGUGGUGGUGAGCACCUGUAGCCCCAGCUACUCUGGAGGCUGAGGCGGGAGGAUUGCUUGAGCAGGAGUUCUAGGCUAUAGUGUAUUAUGCCAAUUGAGUGUCUGCAGUAAGUCCAGCAUCAAUAUGGUGACCUCCCAGGAGUGGGGAACCACCAGGUUACCUUAGAAGGAGUGAACCGGUCCAAAUGAGAAAUGUAGGAGGUCAAAACUCCCAUGCUGAUCAGUAGUGGGAUCGCAUAAUGCCUGUGAAUAGCCACUGCCCUCCAGCUUGGGCAACAUAGUGAGACUCCUGUCUCU
rnacentral:SRP_RNA from 1 species